UACGUAGGUGGCAAGCGUUGUCCGGAUUUACUGGGCGUAAAGAGCGCGCAGGCGGUCGGAUAAGUCGAGUGUGAAAGCCCCCGGCUCAACUGGGGAGGGUCAUUCGAUACUGAUCGACUCGAAGGCAGGAGAGGGUAGUGGAAUUCCCGGUGUAGUGGUGGAAAUGCGUAGAUAUCGGGAGGAACACCAGUGGCGAAGGCGGGUAGCUGGGCCAACACUGACGCUGAUGCGCGAAAGCUAGGGGAGCAAACGGG
rnacentral:rRNA from 1 species